UACGGAGGGUGCAAGCGUUGUUCGGAAUCACUGGGCGUAAAGCGCGUGUAGGCGGCUAUCUAAGUCUGAUGUGAAAGCCCUGGGCUCAACUCAGGAAGUGCAUUGGAUACUGGAUAGCUGGAGUACCGGAGAGGAGGGUGGAAUUCCUGGUGUAGCGGUGAAAUGCGUAGAUAUCAGGAGGAACACCGGUGGCGAAGGCGUCCCUCUGGCCGGAUACUGACGCUGAGACGCGAAAGCCAGGGGAGCAAACGGG
rnacentral:rRNA from 1 species